rnacentral:rRNA from 1 species
AAUAGAUACCCCGGUAGUCCACCCCGUAAACGUUGGGAACUAGUUGUGGGGUCCUUUCCACGGAUUCCGUGACGCAGCUAACGCAUUAAGUUCCCCGCCUGGGGAGUACGGCCGCAAGGCUAAAACUCAAAGGAAUUGACGGGGAACCCGCACGAAGCGGCGGAGCAUGCGGAUUAAUUCGAUGCAACGCGAAGAACCUUACCAAGGCUUGACAUACACCGGAAACGGCCAGAGAUGGUCGCCCCGCAAGGUCGGUGUACAGGUGGUGCAUGGUUGUCGUCAGCUCGUGUCGUGAGAUGUUGGGUUAAGUCCCGCAACGAGCGCAACCCGUCGUUCUAUGUUGCCAGCACGUAAUGGUGGGAACUCAUGGGAUACUGCCGGGGUCAACUCGGAGGAAGGUGGGGAUGACGUCAAAGUCAUCAUGCCCCUUAUGUCUUGGGCUUCACGCAUGCUACAAUGGCCGGUACAAAGGGCUGCAAUACCGUGAGGUGGAGCGAAUCCCAAGAAGCCGGUCCCAGUUCGGAUUGAGGUCUGCAACUCGACCUCA